UUCGGAUCAGGAAGUAUUUGAGGCAGUCUUAAAGAUGUCUGCAUCCUAGUGGUAUUUGGCACUGAUACGGCCACUUCAUCAGCUCCACAGGCUCAGGGUGUAUUACAUCACCAGGCAAGACAGUUUCUGGAGGCAGCUGCCUUUCUCCCUAGUGUGUAUGGCCAGUAGGGAUUUACCUGCCCUCGGCAUUGGAAAAAAUGUGCCAAAAACUCCAGUAGCCCCUGAUGGCCCAUCCUGACCUCCAUUCCUGUACUCAUUCCCUGUCAGUGCAUCCACAUUCAGUGAUAUAUAAGCCUGGAUUCACCUGAACAAUUGCACUGGAGUCCCUCAGCAAGAAGGUAUUUCUUCAGCCUGACGUUACAAGGAAGCCGAAAGCUGCUCUGAUGGGUGCUCAGAAUGUCCUUGUGUCUGAGGAUGGAUGGGCCUCCCCCUGUCUUUCAAGGAAGUUACUUUGUUCCAGUUGUCAAUGGUCACUGAUGUCAUGAAGAGCCAGGGAAGAGGUACAAGGAGG